rnacentral:lncRNA from 1 species
UCCUCCUCUGAUUCCAUUGUCUUUCUUUUUCUGUUCUGUUUUAUUUUCUUUUGAUUGUUUUCUCUUUCACUCUCUUCUUUCUCCUGUAAAUUUUUUGAUCUUGUAAUAGAUUUUCUGAUGGAAGGGCCUUCGCCUCCCUCCAUAUUCUUUCUAAAAGAAACGUAGAUAGGACACUAGUUCCAAGUCUGGGUAUCGGCCAUCAUGUCCUGUCCAUUUAGUAAAGUUGUAGA